AUCAAGCAGCUAGCUAGCCGAUCGCUCUGUUGAGGCCAAUUAACUUGACUACAAAACCCUCAGUUACACAAUUUACGGAUAUUUCUCGACAGCAUCGGAUAGACAGCAACGUGGACGCCUGUCUGCGAGCUACCUGUCUCUUUAUAGUCUGUGACGCCACUUUACACACACACACACACACACUUAUAUACACACAGAGACACACAGUAGGUCAGCCAUUAUAGUUAGCUAGGUUAGCUUUAGUUAGCCAACGAGCUAUGCAGAGAUACUUUUGUUAGAGUGAUGCCCUGAGCAGACACUUUGAAGUGGACCACUGUUGCCAUGGGACGUGGACUCAGAGCCAGAGUGCAUUUGGUUGCUUUGGAAACCGCCUCGGGCCCCGUCAACGAUUCGGUCUCCACAGAGUUCAGGGCACAUGGCAGAGAGAUGGGAGUGAUUGAAUGUUGGUACACCAGGGCAGAUAAACUUCCUGACAGAGACAGAAAGAGAAAAGAGGCUAGGUCGAGUUCAGUCUUGCCAAACCACAGCUGGGCUCCGUGAACGGUGCAGGUAUGGAACUGGACCCUGAACAUCACCUCUCU